GAUGAACGCUAGCUACAGGCUUAACACAUGCAAGUCGAGGGGCAGCAUGAACAUAGCUUGCUAUGUUUGAUGGCGACCGGCGCACGGGUGCGUAACACGUAUCCAAUCUGCCCGUUACUCGGGGCUAGCCUUCUGAAAGGAAGAUUAAUACCCGAUGGCAUUCAUUUGCGGCAUCGCUUAUGAAUUAAAGAUUUAUCGGUAACGGAUGAGGAUGCGUACGAUUAGCUAGUUGGCGGGGUAACGGCCCACCAAGGCGACGAUCGGUAGGGGUUCUGAGAGGAAGGUCCCCCAGAUUGGAACCUAGACACGUGCCAGACACCUACGGGAGGCAGCAGUGUGGAAAAUUGGUCAAUGGUCGGAAGACUGAACCAGCAAAGUAGCGUGAAGGAUGACUGACCUACUGGUUGUAAACUUCUUUUGGUUGGGAAUAAAAGACGCGACGUGUAGCGUUCUGCAUGUACCUUACGAAUAAGCAUCGGCUAAUUCCGUGCCAGCCGCCGCAGUAAGAC
rnacentral:rRNA from 1 species